AUGGCCAAGAAGGCUGGCGCUGAUAGGACCGCGACGGUGAAGGCAGAAAGCUGCUCCAGGAAGAAGGCUAAGGUCGGGCCCGAGGCCAAGGCUGCGUCCUCGAAGAUCACUGUCACCUUAGACCCCAAGUUGCUGGAGUGCUCGGUUUGUUGCAGCCCACUGGUUGCUCCCCUUUCUCAGUGCGCAAAUGGCCAUAUCACAUGUUUCAACUGCUCCUCCGAUCUGAACUACAGUUGCAGCUUGUGUUCUGGGCCCGCCAACACCCACUGCAGUGCCUUGGAGCGCAUCCUCGGCGGCCUGGCCGUGCCGUGCUCGUUCCAGGAGCAUGGGUGCACCGAGAUGAUCCCGUUCACGGAGAAGCUGGCCCAUGAAGAGUCCUGCCUCCAUGCCCCAUGCCACUGUCCCGUCGCUGGCUGCUGCCCCUACCCCGGCCGGUCCCUGCGCGACCACAUCAACGCGGAUCACCCUACGAUCCAGUACACCCGCAUCACGGCCGGCCGCCUCUACCCCCUGAGCAUGCGCCAUGACGAGCCGGCCCGCCUUGUAUCCCUCGGCAGCAAGGCAGUCUUUCUUCUUGUGGUUGACCGGAGCAUCCCGUCGGGGCUCACAUUGUCGGUGAUCCACCUCAUGAGCGACCCGAUCGAGAGGGAGGAUUUCAAGUACAAGAUCCAAGUGCAUACGCAGACGGGCAUUCUCUCUCUGUCCGGCGAGACACAGAGUGUCAGUCGACUGAGGGGGCCUUACCAGGCUGGCGCGUCGCUGUUCGUCUCGGACACCAUGUGGUCUCCCCCAGAUUCUCCAGUGUACCUCGAGCUGAAAUGCUAA
rnacentral:rRNA from 1 species